rnacentral:lncRNA from 1 species
GUUCGAAGUCAAAAUACGUUAAAAGAAUUUAUAAGAUAAAAACAAAUAGCCCGAUGAUCGCUCUUCUAAGGUGUAAAGAAAAAAAAGAGAAGAAGGAGACAAGUCAUUCGGGUAUUAUUGAAAUGAUAUUGAACAGAUAAAUCAUGUGAUGGAGAGGUAUUUGCGAAAAGUACCAGUCUAGGGACUUUGAAAUUUCCAGAGCCGCAAUGCGAUGGAAA